rnacentral:misc_RNA from 1 species
GAUGAAGAACGUAGCGAAAUGCGAUAAGUAGUGUGAAUUGCAGAAUUCAGUGAAUCAUCGAAUCUUUGAACGCACAUUGCGCCCCUUGGUAUCCCGAGGGGCAUGCCUGUUCGAGCGUCAUUCACCACUCAAGCCUGGCUUGGUGUUGGGCGACGUCCUCUUUGGGGACGCGCCUCGAAACGCUCGGCGGCGUGGCACCGGCUUUAAGCGUAGCAGAAUCUUUCGCUUUGGAAGUCGGGGCCCCGUCUGCCGGAAGACCUGCUCGCAAGGUUGACCUCGGAUCAGGCAGGGAUACCCGCUGAACUUAAGCAUAUCAAUAAGCGGAGGA